rnacentral:rRNA from 1 species
GUGUGCACUAGCUUUAUCUGGGGGAUAGCCUUUCGAAAGGAAGAUUAAUACCCCAUAAUAUGUUGAAUGGCAUCAUUCGACAUUGAAAACUCCGGCGGAUAGAGAUGGGCACGCGCAAGAUUAGAUAGUUGGUGAGGUAACGGUCACCAAGUCUACGAUCUUUAGGGGGCCUGAGAGGGUGAUCCCCCAACUGGUACUGAGACACGGACCAGACUCCUACGGGAGGCAGCAGUGAGGAAUAUUGGACCAAUGGGUGAGAGCUUGAUCCAGCCAUCCCGCGUGAAGGACGACUGCCUAUGGGUUGUAAACUUCUUUUGUAUCAGGGAUAAAACUACCCUCGUGAGGGGUAGCUUGAAGGUACUAUACGAAUAAGCACCGGUAACUCCGUGCCCAGAGCCCGGGGUAAUACGGAGGGUUGCAGCCGUUAAUCCGGGACUCAAUCUGGGGGUAUCACAAGGGGUCCGGUAAGGCCGGGAUCCUGGUAACAGGCACCAGCGCGGUGUGAAAAAUUCUCAACCAUGUUUUAACACUUGGUUGAAACCCUUCGGCACAUUUAGAACCUUGCAGAGGGGGCCCCCAUCUCGAGACGACUCAGGGCGC